UUUUUUUUGGUAUGAAUUAGUAGUAGAGAAUAUUACGUGAUUAGACACUUUUUUAAAAGUUUGUUCCUAAUUAGGCACUUUAAAUGGAGAAGUCACUUUAGAUAAAUUAUUUUACUUAUUUACCCUUUAACUACAUUUUUUCCAUCGGUCAUUUCUUCUCUCUCCUUUUCCCAUCUCUUCUCUAUUUUUUUUUUUUCUCACUUUAUCGAAGAAAAAAACAUUUCCCAGAAUAUCUUCAAUUCCAAAUCUGCAAUUAAUCUCCAAAUCCACUCUACGCGAUGGCUUUCUUUUUUCUCUGGACUAAUUAGAGAAUAUGAGGUCUUGGUUUCUUUAAGAUUGUAAUUUAUUUUGCAAUUUAAAUA
rnacentral:sRNA from 1 species